rnacentral:rRNA from 1 species
AUGGCUAAAUUCUGGUGGAGUGGUUCCCUUGAUAUACGAUCUUUGCAUUGGAUAUCAUGGGAUAGUCUCGCAUCUCCAAAAGUUAACAGUGGUAUGGGCUUUCGUGAUCUACAACUGUUUAACUUGGCUCUACUUGGGAAACAUGGAUGGCUGUUCAUUACCAAUCCAGAUUCCCUAUAUGGCCGCGUUAUGAAGGGUCAUUAUUUUCCUGAUGGAGAGUUCAUGGAUGCCGCUAUUCCGCGCUCAUCUUCAGCUAUGUGGAGAGCCAUUGUGGCAGACCGUGAAGCUCUAGAAGAAGGUUUAGUGAAACGUGUGGAGACUGGUGCUACCAUCUCCAUAUGGGAAGACCGAUGGAUCCCGGGGCUGUCAACUCUUCGGCCCACUGUUAUACCUGGUGGUACUACUCUAGCUUGGGUGAGUGAUCUUAUAAAUGAAGAUAACUGGUCUUGGAGGAGGGACUUGAUUCGGGACGUGUUCAUCCCCCCGGAAGCAGAAGCUAUACUUAAUAUACCGCUGCUUCACGGAGGCGGCGAUGAUUUUCUUGCUUGGGCCCAUGAAAUGAAUGGCAACUACUCAUUAAAUCUGCAUACCGUGCUCUCGUGA